CAAUGAGUGUGACCUCCAACCGACCCAACCGAGUGACCCAACCGAGUCUCAUCACAUGUUGAAUUUACUAUAUCAGCAUAUUAAGUGACACACCCACCGGCGGCCAUGACUGGACAUGAAGGACCAGAAACAGUACGCGGUCCUCUCAGUGUUGUGGCCUCUUCCGUUGCGGAGCACAGGCUCCAGACGCGCAGGCUCAGCGGCCAUGGCUCACGGGCCCAACCGCUCCACGGCAUGUGGGAUCUUCCUGGAUCGGGGCACGAAUCCAUGUGCCCUGCAUUGGCAGGCGGACUCUCAACCACUGCGCCACCAGGGAAGCCCUCUUUGUCUUUAUUCUUUAAAAUUAAACCUCUCUCUCCAGGAGGGCGAGAAGGCGA